rnacentral:rRNA from 1 species
GAUGAACGCUGGCGGCGUGCCUAAUACAUGCAAGUCGAGCGAACGGACGAGAAGCUUGCUUCUCUGAUGUUAGCGGCGGACGGGUGAGUAACACGUGGAUAACCUACCUAUAAGACUGGGAUAACUUCGGGAAACCGUAGCUAAUACCGGAUGAUAUUUUGAACCGCAUGGUUCAAAAGUGAAAGACGGUCUUUCUGUCACUUAUAGAUGGUUCCGCGCUGCAUUAGCUAGUUGGUAAGGUAACGGCUUACCAAGGCAACGAUGCAUAGCCGACCUGAGAGGGUGAUCGGCCACACUGGAACUGAGACACGGUAAAGAGUCCUACGGGAGGAAGCAGUAGGGAAUGUUCCGCAAUGGGCGAAAGCAUGACGGAGCAACGCCGCGUGAGUGAUGAAGGUCUUCGGAUCGUAAAACUCUGUUAGUAGGGAAGAACAUAUGUGUAAGUAACUGUGCACAUCUUGACGGUACCUAAUCAGAAAGCAACGGCUAACUACGUG